rnacentral:rRNA from 1 species
CAUAUCAAUAAGCGGAGGAAAAGAAACCAACAGGGAUUGCCUCAGUAACGGCGAGUGAAGCGGCAAGAGCUCAAAUUUGAAAUCUGGCGCCCCGCAGGCGUCCGAGUUGUAAUUUGGAGAGGCAUCUUCAGGAGGGGGCCCGGCCUAUGUUCCUUGGAACAGGGCGUCGCAGAGGGUGAGAAUCCCGUUCUUGGCCGGACAGCCCCUCCGGUGUGCAGUGUCUUCUACGAGUCGAGUUGUUUGGGAAUGCAGCUCAAAAUGGGUGGUAAAUUUCAUCUAAAGCUAAAUAUGGGCGAGAGACCGAUAGCGCACAAGUAGAGUGAUCGAAAGAUGAAAAGCACUUUGAAAAUAGAGUCAAACAGCACGUGAAAUUGUUGAAAGGGAAGCGCUUGAGACCAGACUCGGCCAUGGACUAACAGCUGUCCCUUCUGGGCGGUGCACUUGUCCUUGGCCGGGCCAGCAUCGGUUGGGACGGCGGGACAAAGGCUGGGGGAAUGUGACUCCCUUGAAGAGUGUUAUAGCCCCCGGCGCCAUGCCGCCCGCCCCGACCGAGGACCGCGCUUCGGCUAGGA